rnacentral:rRNA from 1 species
GAGUUUGAUCAUGGCUCAGAAUAAACGCUGGCGGCGUGCCUAACACAUGCAAGUCGAGCGGGAAAACCCUUCGGGGUUAGUACAGCGGCGGACGGGUGAGCAACGCGUGAGAAUCUGCCCUUUAGUGAAGAAUACUCUCGAGAAAUCGGGAAUAAUACUGCAUGAGUCCCUACGGGGAGAAAGAUGGCUUUAUGCUGUCGCUAGAGGAUGAGCUUGCGUACUAUUAGCUAGUUGGUAGGGUAAAGGCUUACCAAGGCGAUGAUGGUUAACCGGCCUGAGAGGGUGUUCGGUCACACUGGAACUGAGACACGGUCCAGACUCCUACGGGAGGCAGCAGUGAGGAAUAUUGCGCAAUGGGCGAAAGCCUGACGCAGCGACGCCGCGUGGAGGAUGAAGGUCUUAGGAUUGUAAACUUCUGUUAAGUGGGAAGAAAAAGUUACUUCUAAUACAAGUGAAAAAUGACGGUACCACUAAAGAAAGCACCGGCUAACUUCGUGCCAGCAGCCGCGGUAAUACGAAGGGUGCAAGCGUUAUUCGGAUUUAUUGGGUGUAAAGGGUGCGUACACAGUAUGUUAAGUCCGCUGAUAAAUUUCCCAGCCUUAACUGGGAGUCAGCGGUGGAUAAUGGUGUACUAAAGGAUGGAAGAGAGAAGUGGGAAUUCCCGGAGUAGCGGUAAAAUGCGUAGAUCUCGGGAGGAACACCAAUGGCGAAAGCAGCUUCUUGGUCCAUUUUUGACGUUGAGGCACGAAAGCGUGGGGAGCAAACAGGAUUAGAUACCCUGGUAGUCCACGCUGUAAACGAUAAUCACUAGAUGUUGGUUUGACUUAGUCGGAUCAGUAUCGUAGCUAACGCGUUAAGUGAUUCACCUGGGGAUUACGGUCGCAAGACUAAAACUCAAAGGAAUUGACGGGGGUCCGCACAAGCGGUGGAACAUGUGGUUUAAUUCGACACUACGCGAGAAACCUUACCUGGGCUUGACAUAUUUCUGACCGUCGUAGAAAUACGAUUUUCUAAGUUUACUUAGACAGUUAUACAGGUGCUGCAUGGCUGUCGUCAGCUCGUGUCGUGAGAUGUUCGGUUAAGUCCUCUAACGAGCGCAACCCUUGCCGUCAGUUGCUACGUGCUUUGCACGGCACUCUGGCGGGACUGCCUGGGAAACCAGGAGGAAGGUGGGGACGAUGUCAAGUCAUCAUGGUCCUUAUGCCCAGGGCUACACACGUGUUACAAUGGCCAAUACAAAGGGCAGCAAGCUCGCAAGGGUAAGCAAAUCCCAGAAAGUUGGUCUAAGUUCGGAUUGGGGUCUGCAACUCGACCCCAUGAAGUUGAAAUCGCUAGUAAUCGUAUAUCAGCAACGGUACGGUGAAUACGUUCUCGGGCCUUGUACACACCGCCCGUCACACCACGAGAGUUGUUUGUACCCAAAGUCGCUUUAGCUAACCCGUAAGGGAGGCGGGCGCCUAAGGUAUGGGGAAUGAUUGGGGUGAAGUCGUAACAAGGUAACC